rnacentral:rRNA from 1 species
GAAGCGAGAGUGCGAGCUUAAGCGAACCCCAAAAAUAAACGCCUCAGUUCGGAUUGCAGCCUGCAACUCGGCUGCAUGAAGUUGGAAUCGCUAGUAAUCGCGGAUCAGAAUGCCGCGGUGAAUACGUUCCCGGGUCUUGUACACACCGCCCGUCACACCAUGGGAGUCGGGAAUGCCCGAAGUCGGUGACCUAACCGAAAGGGAGGAGCCGCCGAAGGCAGGCCUGGUAACUGGGGUGAAGUCGUAACAAGGUACC